rnacentral:rRNA from 1 species
AACGAACGCUGGCGGCAUGCCUAACACAUGCAAGUCGAACGGACGGUAGCAAUACCGUUAGUGGCGGACGGGUGAGUAACGCGUGGGAACCUGCCUCGAAGUUCGGAAUAACCGCGGGAAACUGCGGCUAAUACCGGAUGUGGCCUGAGGGUCAAAGGCGCAAGUCGCUUCGAGAGGGGCCCGCGUCCGAUUAGCUAGUUGGUGGGGUAACGGCCGUACCAAGGCGACGAUCGGUAGCUGGUCUGAGAGGAUGAUCAGCCACACUGGGACUGAGACACGGCCCAGACUCCUACGGGAGGC